rnacentral:lncRNA from 1 species
CCCAACUUCCAGUGGUUCUGCACUUGGUUCUAUUCUUGCAACUAAUUCUCAACAAACUGUCUGCAUUGCAGGACCAAAUAAAAAAGCGCGCACUGCAUAUUGCCGCUGCUGUACUCAUAUCAAGAGAGGAAAGCAAGAUACAAGUACAUGCUGGCAUUUCCUGAAAGUUUCUAACAACAGGGAACACAAUGCAAAAUCACAGAGACUACAAGGCAUUACAAAAUGUAAUCGCUGCAUUCCCAACUUGAUACUGCCUCUAACAAUAUUAUUAUUACAUCACCUAGAGGACCAUCGAGAUCUCCUGGCAUUGCAAGCACGCACCUAGCCAAGAACACCGCAUCCUCUCAGAAUAGCAGGGACAAAGAAGCAGAGAGAAUAAGAGGGCAGAGAGAAAAGGGGGGAAAAAUGAUGUAGCUAGGAAAGCUAAAUUAGUAGUAGCUGCUAGUUAAGAUACCUAGAGAUAUAUAUAUCUCGGACCAUCAAGCCUCAAUUCCCCACAAGAGCUCACACCAUCUGCGUCGUCUUCCUCCUCGCGCUCAGCUCCACGGGUCGAGCGAGCAUGAGGUCCAGCCGGCAGUGGGAGCCGAAGGCGCGCACCCUUUUCUCCUAUCUGUGCGGCGGCCUUCCACCAAGCUCAUUUCCCCUGUCGCCGCACAUUGGCCAGGUACUCCUCCUAGAGCUCGCCCUGAACUCCAUCCGGAGAAGGGGACGGUGGUGGGAAUCAAGAAGGGCUUGGUGCCGGCUGCGUCUUCAGAGAGUGAGCUUACUGGGAGGGAGGAGGCUUGCAAAGAGAGAAAGGAAGGAAGCAAGAGACUGAAGAACAGAGUGGUUGCUUAUAUACAAAGCCCCUCACAUGGCUGCAAUGGGUAGAGAGGGGGAGAGCGCGAUUGGUUUAACAACGGGGUGUGGCCUGGUGGGAGCAUGGAGAAUGGGAAGCAUGUUUGUGGGGAACGCAAAGCGCACUUGCACGCCUUUCGAGGCGUGUUGGGGGCGGUAAACAAGAGAAUAAAGACGAGUAGUAAACUGAAUCUGAACGGAGCGUGUUGUGUUAGUAUUUUCCCCCCACCUCUCCAAUGUGCAGCAGCAUACUGAUUACUGCCACUGAAGUGCUGGGCCAUGGCGGCAUGUGUGCGCCUGUUGUUAGUGCAGGGAGAAAUGGACCUUACAUGGAGAGGGAGGAGAGGAGGGACAGGGGAAAGGGGCGGAAUGGGCUUUCUGUUUGACUGCCUUGUCGAGCUGCCUCCUACUCCUCUUCCUCCCUCUUUGCUUUUCUGGUGCUAAAGGGAAAUAUACUUUUCUGUCCUUGUGGCACUGCCAUGAUCAAAAUGAUUGAAGAAUGAGGAAGUGGUAUAAUGGCGGGCAGAAAAGUCCCUAUGAUUAUCGAGCAAACUUGUCAAAGAAUCGAACCGGUAGAAUGCAUUGAUACAUUUAUAUUUACCCUUCCUGGUCACCGUUGGUACACUACUGAAACCUAGCUGAAGAACAUCAGUAAUAAGUGGAAUAAAAAAUAGCUAAUUUGUGGAUGCACUCUUCAAGGUUCACUAGCCUUGGCCAGUGCUUUGGAUGGGUUUAUUCAAGAUCAAUGUCUUUUCCUUUUUCCACACAAUAAAAGCUGAGAGGUACUCUCCAAAAGAAAACUUCAAAUAAAUGUGAGAGUUGCUUCUGGUUUACUACUACUUCUGUAAAUGCUUGAUAUGCUAGUUUAUGAAUGUGAAUGGGUCACUCGACCUAACAAGAUGGCGAACUUACCUGCCGAGCUAGACGACUAGCUGCAUGGAUGAGGAUGAAGCAAACAAUAAGUAAUCCAUGAUGAUUCACUUUCGUGCAGACAGGGAUCACUUGAAUAAGGAUAUCCAUUGGCCUGUGAAUGGUGUAGCUUCCAUCUGUCGGAUUAGUAGUGUUUAGGGUUUGUUAAAGGGGGAUUAGGCCUCAACUUAACCGCACUUUCCAUGUGCGCUGCACUUAGCAGUUAGCAGCUCCUCGCUUAAUCGGCAAUGGAAGCUUCACUCCCUUUCUCUCCCCUCCCCCUCUCUGCCUUCUAUCUUUCUCUCUCUACCCAUCCCAAGCAUGCAAAGUAGAGGUAACAUGCGUGUUAACGCUGUCAGGGGAACGGUCCCAGUCUUAUGCAACUUUAUAACCUUCCUUUGCUUUGUUAAUGAUUUUCCCCAAAAGUGGCCUGCUGGUGUAGAAUAGGAUUCUCCCCAUGAUAGAAGAGAAGGGCGAGACUUGUUUACAGGCGGUUUUGAUGACUUUCAUGCAAUGGCGCCACUGAGGACAGGAGACGCCUCAAAUGGAUGGGAGCGUCGGUGUGUGUAGUGCCCUCUUUGCAGGUCUCGAGAGACGAGAAAACAAUGGGCUCGCCGUGGACGAAGCCAUGAUCCACAGCUGCUUGCUUCAGAAAGACGACGUGGAAAGGCCUGAGCUGUGACUGUGAGCUAUACAUCAAAGGUGUUCAUCAUGUGAAAUUGGACAUGCAGUUUAUUAACAGCAACGAAUCAAAGCAUGCACAAACGUCUGGUCGCUUUCUAAAUGUAGGAAGAAAAUGGAAAAAGGACGAGACAUGAUUACAAUUUUUUAAAAGAAGAACGAUAAUCCCGACCUGCUGCCGUUGUGAUGAGUUGGAGGAACUGUGCGUCUCAGACAUGCAGUGAUGCACGAACAGGUGGUAACAGUAAACGCAUCCUUUUUGAGAUGUCGUCUACUCUUGGUAAGCUGCAUGCAUAAACAUGGACCAUUACGUAUGGAGCUCUGCAGGACUGUAGGAAGGAGCAGUCCCCAUCAGAGGACGGAAAGCUUCAGCUGGUGGUCAAAUUUGAUGGAUUCUCCCACACACUCUUUCGAGACUCUGAAGGCUGGCAGCUUGGUUGGUGCUAGUGCUGGCUGCUGGCCACUGCUGGUGCCUGUGAGGCUGUUUCGAACGUGUUCGCGUCUGUUCUCUUGUCAUUCCGGGUAGGUGAUCAACUUUAGGAUGCAUGCAUGCAUGCAUGAGCGUGACUGCAGGCAUGACGGGAGGAGGGAGAGGAGAGGAGGGGAAAAGAGGCAUGAUUUUUUCAGUUCGCGACGAGCAGAAAACAAAAGGGGGGAGUUCCUUUGUCCAAACACCCUUUUUUCUCUUCGUUUGGUGCCGGGAAUGUGCACGCGAACUGGUGCUGUUGGGGCUGUGGCCGUGUGGUCUAGCAAAGCAAAGCAUCUCCCUCCUUUUGUUCGCUUGUGCCUGGUGUUCUCCUCUUGUUGUUUUGUUGUUUUCUUCCCGGGAGAAGAGGCGUGGUUCGAAAGGAAAAUGUUGUACCGCCGAGAACGAAAUUUGAUGCAUUCUGCUGGGUCUUUUUGCAACUAGGGUGUUGUGAUACAGUAAUAUGCAAUGCAAGCAAACAGUUUAACAUGUCUGCGAACGCUAAUAAAGAGAGUGAAAGGAGGGAAAAAAAAGGUGUCACAUGGAAUAGAAGUCUUUGAAUGUGAAAAAACAACGGUACAGAUAAGGUAGAAAAACCUCAGCGAGAUGGCAGCAGUGUAGAUUAUUGAGCCUUUUUCUGCUGCUGAACUCAUUCAUGAUCGGCAAAAUCUGUUCACCGAAAGGAGUCCAUCAUACCUGUCUGCCACGCCCGCCCAACGCCUCUCGGCCAUCCCCUUUCCAUCACCGGCCGCGCUGCUGUCAGCCGCAGGCAGAGCUCUCGUCUGCAUGCUAAAGCCGCCGCAAACGUGAAGCCGACGUUCGAAAUCUCAACCCCAUCGUUUUUUUUUGGUUCACGCCGGUGAACGUCGGCCGCCCCGGUCCCGUGGCGAAUGAGCAGCCAGCACAUCGUAUAGCAUAUGCAUGCUCCUGUCGUCCACGCUCGACAUACGUCAGGAGCACGUAACCUUUGCUCGGUGUUCUCUUGGAAGCAAAGGAAAACGAAAGGAGAUCUCAAGUCAAGGCCGGCCGGGGCAGCAGCCACGCGUGGCAACGUGCCGGGGGCGCUGGGAGUAAAAGAUUAGACGGGGGCGCGGCGGAAUCGGCGACGCACCGGCGGAGAGGAGGAAAAGGGGCGGUCGACACGGGUGGAGAGGGAGGGAGGGGACGGGACGCGCGAGAGCGGGUGGAGCGGAGUAUAAUAAGCGCAAUCAUUGGGCACUCAACCGCGGUCCACGUCCGCGGCCCGGCGCUGCCGGUCCGGCGCGCGACACGGCGAGCGGCGCGUGCGGCGUCGCGCGGGCGGGUCCCCCCACCCCGUCCGCCGCCCCCGCGCGACCCCGAGCGCGAGGGCGCACGCGCGCGCGUGGAGGGGCAGCUGGGGCUUGGCUGCUGGUGGCCUUGGGCGGGGGCCGGCCGGCUCUGGUGGGCGGUGGGGGUGCCCCCCGUGCCGCUCGGCCGCGAUCCCGCCCGGUUCGGCCACUGUUGGUGACGCGAGUGGUCCGUCCCCUCCCGCACGUCGCUUUGCCCGUGCGUGCCACAUCGGGCACGCGCAUCCGGAACCGAACUCCCGGGUCGCACGAAUCGCCGGCAUGCGAAUCCCACGCUGCAACUCUGCAAGGUGUUUCUUUUUUUUUGAGAGAGAGAGAGAGAGAGAGAGAGAGAGAGAGAGAGAGAGAGAGAGAGAGAGGAGCAAAGACUGCAGGUCAUGCAACCACGGCGGGGGCGGCGGGACAUGAGAAGAAGUUGUCGUUCAUGCGGAAAGCCAUGAUGGGCCGAAGGACUCUGGCGGACACAUCGCUGGAUGGCCCAAAGAGAAGACGGGAGAAUGAAUGAGUUCGGAGCCCACCGCAAUAGACUGGUGAGAGGAAGGCUGCUGGCAGCUGAUGAUGAUGUGGGUUAGUACCACAUCGGGGAGCGGUGGUGUUGGGAUCCCGGGGAGAGCUACAAGAGGAAGGGCAGCGGCUCGCAGCCAAAGCACGCAGCUGCGUGGUGAGCACAGAGCGAACUAUUCUUUCGCCUUUUACUAAAGAAUACCGUGUGCGCGCCACAAUUAGCAGCAUACGCUAUUUUUUUGAGGGUGUCCUUCUAUCAAAGGAGGACCCCAACAAAUUAAUUUCAAAUUUAAUUGGAUUCUGAAUCUCCGUGCACUGUUUCAAAGUGGAGCUUUUACAAGUUCAGCAGACCAGUGUCGGAUGACCGAUAACAAUGGCUUCCGCCCACCAGAAAAGUUGCAGCAGGCCAGACGGGAGACACUGGAAGAUUGCGGAGAAGAGAAUCUGAGAAUGCAUUGCCUGCCGGAGCGCGCGCAGUCCGCUUCGGCGCUUGAAUCGCCCGGAAACACGGCGGCGGAACGCGAAUCGCGCACGCUGAGCGCAACCACGUUGUGGACAGGCCGCGGUAGGUCGAUCGCGCCGCUGGUCAGUCACUGCGAGCCCAACGACGUGGGUUCUUCCCUAGUGAAACCCAGACGGGCCGGACUCCACCGGACUCACCCACUCCGCAUGGCCCAAGGACGGGUGAAUCGGUAAAGUUUAUCUUAGUUUAAAGGUGUUCUCCAGUUCACGGAGGACGCCAACAAAAACAAAUUCAAGUUUAUUCUAAAUUUCAGGAUGUUGUGAAUAGUUAGGUUUUUGUUUCAUAGAUCUUGGUUUAGUUACUAAUGGUGGUUUCAGGAAUUUAAAUUUCUCUGAUUCUGAAUCUGCGUCACCAUGCAAAAUGCUCGUGCGUAGUGUCGUCGAUUAUAGCGCUUGUACAGUCACCAAUUUGAUCUUGGUGGACAAUGUGUAGAAUACACAUACCAGAGCGAAAUUAUGAGAAAUACAUCCACCGAUUUAAAUCUGGAAUAAAAUGAACGAGAGAGUGGAAACAAUCUAUUCACAUAUUCAUGACCCUCAACAAUGGCUUCCCCAACUAAAGAAGCUGCAGAAAACCAGGCCAAGCUUCUUACUUACACUGGAUGAUACAAAAGUACACGGAACGCAUGCCUCAAAUAACAAAAAGUUUCUUCCAUUGCACAAAUCAGAAGACAUACUGGUAUAACGUGGAUCUGACAAAUCUGAAAAUUAUCGGGACGUGCUAAUGGCUAAUAGUAAGAUUUUCCAUCUCGUUCACCACAUCAUCAGCUAACUCGGCCUCCAGAGAUCCAAGGCACUUCUCGAAUCCUUCAAGGGCUGCAAAGGCAUUAGCAGGUGAGCCACCAAGGUGUCCUAUUUCCUUGCGCAUCCCAUUGAUGCCACCAUACAGUCUUUUUACAGCGAGCUUCAUCUCAGAUGCAUCUUGUGGUGGAUAUACGCAAGCCCCGAGAUCAUUGACCUGGUCGGCAAUCUCCUUGCAAUGGCCCAGCAAUCUUUCCAUUGGCUCAACUUUGUCCUCGUUAGCCCCAUUCUUGUUACCUGAGCUCUUGAGCAAACCAGUAACAAAACGAAUUGCCUCUUUCACUACAACCAGCGAAUCAGACACCACAGUGACAAUCAACUUGGCAACAGCGAUCUCCUCUUCAGUGAAAUCAUCAUCAUCAUCCAUAUCAAGAUCAGAUAAUAUCUCAUCUCUAUCAGAACAACUCGUGGUGUCAGCAACACCAUUGGAAGACUUUUCAGCAGUAGCAUCACCAGAAUCACUGAUAGGGAGUUCGUUCAUCUCCCGGAGAACAUCCUUCAGACACACACCUAUUUGCGUCAUGGCUCGUCCUAUGGCAGUGCAGUUCGACGUCGGCACCUUCUUGAGAGCAGCACAGGCUUCCCAUACAGUUCCUGUGACCUGGGGUAUAGUUAUGUUCCGAUCAGGGCUGCGAGAUUCUGCAUCAGAUUAAAAAAAAUGAAGUGUUAGCCCAACUAAAAAUAUUCUGAGGGAUUAAAAUAAAUAAAGUGCAAGACUCGAAGGUCUCUGAAUGUGAUAAUUGCUUCAUUGCUAUUUCAGAUGUCCUUUACCAUGGACUAGAAUCACAAUACUGAUGCAACUGACACCGAUAAAAAGUCACAUGCUUCUCCUCACUUCAAAUAUGUAGAAUUUAAAUCAGCAAUUUUAGUCAUGUGACUAUUCCACCAUCAACAUUGCUUUAUAUUUAAUUCUACCUAAUUGGUUUCCAUAUAAAAAAUCAGUAGGGACUACCAGGAAGCCUUGUUUAGACAAAUAACUACAACCAUUAAGCUUUGGCAGUUUUUUUACAUACCAUAAGCAGAAACAGCAUGCUUGAACAAUAAGAAGCUAGAGUCAACCACGUUCUUUGCGGAACCACAGAUGGAUUUGUGAAGAGUAGGCCCAGCACCGACCAUGCUUCCAUGGCAAGCCAAGAGGAAUCCUUGUAGGAUGUUGAAAUACGCAACAAUGUUCUCCUUCAAGGUGUCUAUAUUAGGCAAGUCACCACUCCAGAGCAUUCCAGCUGCAGCAAAAGACAGGCAUCAGCCAUCAAAACAGAGUUGCAUCAUGUCAAUAAAACAGUUUCGCUCUAUCACAACUAGAAAGACUGCAUUGCAUAUACUACCCUAUGAACUAGCUAGGAAGAAAUUGCCGAACACUAAUGCAGAUACCAUAAAUACUCUACUACAUUCAGCAGAGGAACUAUGUACACUCCAGUAACUGCAGACUCAAACACCCAAAACUGACUUCUAAGGAGCACUGAUUCAGACGAAAACAAGAAUUUCCUUUUCUUGUCUUUUCUCUUUUUUUUUUUGAAUGAACAAAACAAUAUUUUCCUAACCUAUCUAACUUCUCAAUUGGCUUUCCGCUGAAAUAAAUCAACUCAAACACUCCUAUGUACACCCAGAGAAAUUCUCAAUCAAUUCAGAUACAUAUGCAUGCUCAGACCAGCAAAGCGCGAGAAAUUAAGUACAUGAGAUCGCUCAAUUUUGCACCUACCGACGGUGGCCUGCCUGGAGACCUGGUCGCCGAGCUUAACGACCUCAGACCACUCCGUCCGCUCCAAGCUCCCCGGAACCGCCUCCGCCAUCAUCUGAAAAACGAAGAGCGAACAAGCGUCAAGCGUGCAAGCGGCGCGGUGAGGUUUCCGCGUGGCCGCGUGGGAUCGGAUCGGAUCGGAGCUGGGCCAAGACCAUGGUAGGUUUGGGCGUACCUGGAAGGUGUCGUUGAUGGUCUGGAGAUGCGAAUCCAGGAAGCGGGACAGUUCGCCGCCGCCCGCCGCUUUCUUCGCUCGUCCUCCUUUCUUCGACAUCGAGGCGGCGGUGGCGGUGGGCGAGUCGGGGCUGGGAAGAAAGAGGGCGGCGCGAGCGGCGAGGAGCCGACGGGGACAAGAGGCGGCGCAGCGGCCGUGGAAGGGUUUAUUCAGUUAGGGCUCGGCGCCUCUCGAUGUCGGAGUCGCGCGAGCCAUAGGAGUCGUGUCAAGAUUCGUGUGAAGAAGCGUUAGCGGGUGUUUGGAAAACACAUCCUAUAGGACAUGUCACAUCUGAUGUUUGAUACUAAUUAGAAGUAUUAAAUAUAGUCUAAUUACAAAACUAAUUGCACAGAUGGAGUCUAAUUCGCGAGACAAAUCUAUUAAGUCUAAUUAGUCUAUAAUUUGAUAAUGUGGUGCUAUAGUAACUAGUUGCUAAUGAUGAAUUAAUUAGGCUUAAUAGAUUCGUCUCGCGAAUUAGUAUAGGGGUUCUGCAGUUAGUUUUAGAAUUAGCUCAUAUUUAGUCCUCCUAAUUAACGUCCGAACAUCCGAUGUGACACUCCUAAAAUUUAGUACCUCGUAUCCAAACACCCCCUUAGCGUGAAAACGGUCACCAAGGCCCAAGGUCCCUUAUUAAAAAAAAAGGGCCCAAGAGUCCUGUUUGAACUUGUAUAAUAAAAUCUAAAAAGUUCUUAAUGUACAAUUUUAAAUUGUACUAUCGCUAAGACUGUUAUGUCAGCUUUAUAAUGAAAAGAAACAAUCUCUCUCAGUGCACAAUUUCAGUAUAUAGGUACAUUGACAGACUGCAUCAUUUAAUUCUUGAGCGGUGUUGAAAUGUAUCAUGUGAUCGGUGCAAGUUUCAUUGUGGUUUAUGUGAUUACCAAACCAAGCACGUUGGGUUUUAUGGGGACCAAACUCUCUUCCCUUCUCCCAAAAUUGCUAGUAUGUCAUAGGAUUUAAUAUUCAUGAAACUCUCAGUGAAUUUUUUGAGACUCGCCUUAUAAAAGAUUAAAAUUAGUGGGUGGUUCAUUUCAUCACCGACGUAUUUUUGUACUGACACUACCUAAACCUUCCGAGCAACCCUAGCAUUUCAAGUGACAUCCAAAUUGCUUUGACUUUACUUACAAAAUAUAGUGAGACACAGCAAAAAAGAGAGCUGUGCAUUUUUUCCAAUAAAAAAGUUUAGAACCCUAAUGUGCAAUAAUCUUGCUUUAUUGAUUAGUUACACCCGGUUUGAUGCUGCGGUAUUCUCAAUUAUUCAUCAAUCUCAUGCUGACACCAAAUGAGCUAUUGUGGCAAACCAAAUUCCUUCCAGGAGGGGGCUCUCCUAAUACGUAAGGGGGUGUUUGGUUCUAGGAACUAAAGUUGAAAUUUCCGGUGCAUAUUAUCGGAACUUCCGACACACUAUCGGAACUUCUGACACUGUUGAAUUAAAUCCACUGAGCAUCCCCAGCAGGAAGUUUCUGAAAACUUCCAACCCCCUGUCGGAACUUCUGACACUCACAGAAAUUGUGAGAAAAUAGACGUGCAAGUGCGUGGGUGGUGUCUCUCAUGGGUGGAUAGCAUCUCAAUUAAGCACUUUGACAUCUUCAAGCUAUCCAUUCGUAUCCCCCUUUAUAGUACGGUGUUCCUAUACUCAAUUUCAAAGAUAGAAAUUAUAAAAAGGUCUUCUUUUAAGCCCAACACCGUUCUUCAAUUUUAUUUGGGGUUCUUUUCUUGCACCUUUGCACUUCUUUAGAGUUUAAGCCUGUCAAUAACUUGAUAAAUUCAUUAGUCCCUUAAUCAUGCAUGUCAUCAACACCAAAACCCACUUAGGGGGCCAAAUGCACUUUCAAUCUCCUCCUUUUUGGUGAUUAAUGACAACACAAUUAAGGCUCACAUGAGAAAUAUAUAAACAUUUUGAAUCCAAACAUAUAGGUGGGCUGCCCCUUAACAUGUGCAUCUUUCAACGAUAGAGACAAAAUGGCCUCAAAUGUUAUUUGCACAUGUUAAGUGAGCUCCCCCUAUAUCCUUGCAUUCGUGGGGUGCAAAGAUGUGACAUGUAUAUUAAUGUGAUGCAUAUGACAAGAUGUAACACUUCAACAAAUUAGAAAUUAAACAAUACACUAAGCCAUGAUCAACACAUAUGAAUAGAAAUUUAAAACCACACUAACAUAACAAAUCACAAAUAAGUCUUACAAACUUAAAAAUUCACUUGGCACAUCAAUCAUCACACCACACAUAAAGUUCUUACAUGUCCACAAGCCAUAAACUAGAAAAACUCAUAAAAAGAUAACACCACCACCAUAUGGUCCCAUGGUGAGCUCAUUCCCCCUUUUGGCAUCAAGCUCCAAAAAGAGGAGGCACUUCCAUAGCCAUCACUCAUCACCAUCGUCUUCCUCAUGCUCGUCAUCUUCAUCCUCAUCCUCCGGAGUAUUAGCAUCGGGAAUGUCCUCUUCUUCCUCAUCGGACUCUUCUUGCCUACCAAAGUCUUCCUCAUCAUCACCUUGGGGAGCUCCAAAGAACAUAGGGGGCUGCCCAAUCUCCUCCCAAGGGUUGUAGAAAACCGGUGGAGGAGGAAAAUUCAUAGGAGCACGGAGAGGAGAGUGUGAGAUAUCAUUCUUGGCCAUGAGCUCCUUUUGCCUCUUUUCAAUCUUGAGGAGUUGCUCAUCCAUGUGCUUCUUGUGGGCAUAGAUUUCAUCCGCAUUGUGGUGACCCACAUUGAAGCAAGCGAAGAGACCUUGUGAUAUAAAGCUUAGAAUCCCUUAGGAGCCCGAGGUGGUGGAGGACCUCUAGAGCUAGAGGGCCUAUGUGAGGAUGAUAGCCCAAGAGAUGGUGAAGCUCCAAUAGGAGGUCCUUGAGAAGAUGAAGGUCCAAGUGAAGUUCCUUGUGGUGGAGGACAAAUACCAUGAGACCCAAUCUUGCAAAGCCUCUCAAUAUGACCCUUCUUUGACUUGUAGACAGGACGGCCCUUAUCCGUUAGAAUUUUCAACUUGGUCACAUCCUUGAUCAUAGCAAAGAUGUAUGGAGCGUAGUGACAACUCUUCUUGGGGGAGUAAGAGCAAAUGAUGAUUUCUUCCCAAAUGAAGUCAAAGAUGCUAAAUUCACCUGCGUCGGGAUGCAUCUGUGCAAGCAAGUUCUUUGACAUGUUAGAGAUGCUGUCCACAACACUACCUUUAGGGCAAAAAGUGUAGCGGAAAAGCUGAUUUAGUAACUUACAACGGAAUCAUGUCCUUGGUGGUGCCAUGCUCAAUCGGUCCAUAAACGCUGUUAUACAUGAAGGCCAUCUCUCCAUCCUCAAUGACAUUCUCCAUCUCAUAUAUCUUAUAUCGAGCAAUGUCAUAUACCCCAUAACCAAGAAUAUUUGCAAACUUUGCAUAAGUCACUGAAAGGGACUUCCUCUGAAGAGUCCAAUGCAUCACCUUGGUUGCUGUAACACCUGCAAAAUCACCAACCUAAAAUCACCCGUUAAAAAUUGCUUUCAAAAUAUUUUCACCGCUGAGCUCCCGGAAAUCUAAAAUCUUCCCGGUGAUUUCGCCGUCCCGGCACCCAAGCCGACAGCUAUCAUUUUAUCCGUGCCCGUUUUUCUCGCCGCGUGCCGUCGUCAGACGCCGCGCGCGUGCUCCGACCGCGUGCCGCGAACGCCGCCGGUCUCCCCUUUUUUUCUUUCUUCUUUUCCUCCCUUUUUCUUUCUUUUUUCCUUUUCCUUCUCCUUUCUUUUUCUUCUUUCUUCUUCCUCCUUCUUCUUCUCUCUCCUCCUUCCUUCUUCUUCUUGGCGCCACUCCUCCCGGUCGGCCCAACACCAUAACUCCACCGGCAACCACCUCCCUGGCGCCAUACCGUCGGCCGCCCGGCCCCCGUGCGCCCCAGGACCCGCGCCGCCCGGCCCGGCGCCGGCCGCGCCGGCACCCCCCGGGACCCGCGUCGCCCAACCUCGCCGACCCCAGCGCGCUGGCGCGCCACCCGCCGACCCCUCGCCGCGCCCCUCCUGCGCUGGCCCCGCCUCCAGCCCUGCUCUACGCCGCCUGCCGCCGGCCCCUACCUCCCCGCCCCCAGCACGCCACCGGUGCCGUGCCGCCAAGCUUCCACCGCCGGCUAUUGCCGGACCCCUACGUGCCGACCACCUCGCCGGCUAUAAAAGGAGGCCGCCCCGGCCGCCCCUCUCCCCACACCGCACCACACCCCAACCUCCUCCACCCGCCAAAACCUCCGGCGCCACCGCCGCCCGUGCCAAGCCGCCACCACCACCCGAGCGCCGCCCGAGCACCAUCACCGCCUUGACCACCGCCGGUCGCCCCUCUCCUACCCCCAAGUGCCCGAGGUAAGGGGCAAAACGGGAUCCUCUCCCCUUCCCCCACCUCCUCCGCCCCACGGCCUCCGCCGGUGAGGCUUGCCGGUCGGCCGCCGUCGGCCCUCCACCUCCCCCAACCUCCUGGCCGGCCCAGUGAAGGAGAAGGGGAAAAUUCCCCAAAAUCCUGAUCUGACCCCCACCUUUUCCCAAAUUACAAACAGGCCCUUCCACCACUCUCAUAACCUUUUUCGCAGAUAAGCCCCUCCACCUCCAGAAAUAUUUACAAAUAGGUCCCUGGUUCAUCGCGAAUCAGUUCUAAACCUCCUUUUUAAGCCUCUAACCCAUGUUUAACUCGUCAUUUCAUGCGCCAAACUUCCUCCAUUUAACCCCAAAUUUUACCACGUCGUCCUCCAGAAUACUUCCGCCGAUCCAUAUCCAAAUUUCCCAAAAAUACUACUUCUACCUAUUUUCCGUUCGCGUUUUCUGUUCGGAGCUCAACGGUUAAAAACCAACUUUCUUUUAUUUAUUUGUGUGUCUGUUUGUGUGUGCCGUAGAUUGCGGAUUACCCGAGGAGGAGCCCGAGGAGGAGUUUGACCGCGAGCCCGAGCCCGAGGACUUGCAGCACGAGCCGAAACUCCCGGAAGGCUUUGAAGACGGCAAGUCCAAUCCCACCCUUUGAUGCAUACUUAAUACCUAGUUUUUCAAACACAACCUAUUGGCCUGUUUUAUAAAAUGCAUAUUGUUUUAUUGCAAGACAUGGUUGGAUAGCCACCCCUUGAUUGUUAUGAACGUUCCUUGUUGUCCUAUGGUUGUUUCUAAAUAUGAGCCGCUCUAUUUAGACGAUAACCACUGCUAGAACGCUUAGGAAAUUGCUACUUAAACUUCAAUCACUAUUAUAAUGGUUUAUUUAGAAAAUAAAUGUGUGUGCGUGUUCAACUGGGAAAAUGGUUUUCCAGGUUCAAAGGAAAAGAAUGUGUAGACAAGGUGCAUGGGUAUUUCUUGUGUGAAAUGCUAGGGUGUUGUGCUCGUACCUUAGUGGUUGAGCAAUAUCGGGAGAUAUCCAUCUUGUCAUGGUUAAGGACCGAGUUGAUGUGUCAUCUUGCCUAAUUCAACCAUCGUGCAACCACUCGACCGUUGUGUGGGCAACGACUUAGCAUAAAUCCCACUAGCUGAACUGUUAGUCUUCAGGGGUGCUGGUGAGCAACAGGAGCCCAUGGAAAAGGAGUAAGAUCUUGGUGACUUAGGUCCCGAUUACGGUCUCGUGGAUGAGCCGUGAACCCCUUGGGUGCUUCCGUGAGGGCUAGCCAGUCUUAGCUAAGGUGGGUAAUGACUUUGUUAGGAUCCGCACCGGCACUAAGGUGAUCGUGCUGCGGUACCCUACUUGUGGAAAAAGUGUACAACCUCUACCGAGUUAAAACCUAUCCGGGUAGCCGUGUCCACGGCAUUGGACGAGUUACGGCUUGGUCACAUAACUAGAACUUGGGUAUGGAUGUCGCGUGUGUGUGUGUUGGAUUUUGGAAGUGUCCGGCAGUUGUGCCGUGAGCUAUGGCGGACGGGGAGUCCGAUAGCGAUAAAACUUGGAUCCUAUUGGGUAGGAUCAACCCCACUUAAUGUUUCGGUUACUAAAGAAAAGCUUUACGAAAACUUGUUUGAAAACGAGCCCAUGCAUGUGUUGAAAAUCUAGCUUUAUUGCAAAUAAACCCUAGUCUAUCCUUGAUAUAUCCUAUGCAUAUAUUUGCUUGUAUCCCCCUCCGUGGAUGGGGUUGGACUUGUUGAGUAUGUUCGUACUCACCCUUGCUUCGUUACUACAGAGGAAGAUCCGAACUUUAUCGCCGAGGACCUUGAGUAGAGGUUGUGUCCGCACCCAACGCUGCCUGUGGUGUUGGCCUUUCCAAGAUGCUGCUGCUGCCAUGUAGUCCCGAGUGCUGUCUUUUGGCAGUCGCUUGAUUAGCCGCUGUUGUUUAUUUACUUCUUAUCGCUGCGUGGCUCUCACGCCCACUCCCUCGGGAGUUGUACGGUAACUGAAUUAUCUGUUGAAUAAAUGUGUUAUCAGCCUCCUGGGACUGAUAUUUGUAUCACAUUUAGUCUCUACUUAUGUGGGGACGCUUUAGUUGCCCGGUCAAUAUAGAGAGUUGCAUAGAAUUGAGCCACCACUUUUUCAUUCCAAUCUUGAUUUUGCUCCAUAAUAGAGAUAAGGUUUUUGUUGUUGCAAACUUCCCAGACUUGAUCAAUGACAGGCAGCUCAAUUGCCUUCAAAUAAGAUCAGUCAAUUGACUUCAUCUUAGUGGUGGGAUGAGUUUUGCAAAUAAUGAUUGACUCAUACCAAUCGGCGUGGAAGCGCAACCAAAAGCGGACAUCACCAAAGAAUUCCUUUUGGUACUGGGAUGGUCUAUCAUACCUGAGAGUGCAAAUAUCAUGCUUCCCCUUCUGAUAAUCCACUGGUUUUGAUCCCAAGUAGCCCUGUCUUGCUUCCCAAACGGGCUUUGCCAUCUGAAGGAUCACAAUCUCAAGAAAGUCCAAGGGGAUCAACUCAUUUUCAUACAUAUGAGCACCCGGGGAGGAUGCAUUCUUCAUGAGAGGAUGGACACCUUGGCUAGGUCCACCAGCUGGAGUAGGAUUCCCCCUUUCCCUAGCAUGUGCAGGUACGUACUUUGGGGACAACCUUCCUCUUCCCCUUCUUUUGAGAGAUAGGUAUUUCAUCGGACUCGGUGGAAGAGUUGGAUUCAAUUUCCAGGGUGUCCUCACGCUGUUUGCUUCUCCUUUCAUGACCCAUUUGACAAGAUUUGCAAAGGAAUUAGAAUGGAUCAGAGAGAUGGUACACAUGAAUCAAAAUAGAAACUUCAGGAACUUAUCGGGACUUCCGACUAAGGGUCGGAACUUCCAAUCGUCAGAAGUUCUGACUGAACCUGAGUUCAUCUAAAAUCCAUGGAAUUUGAGAUCUAGCCCACCAAUUCAAAUGAUAUCACAGGCAUGAGUUUUAAGACAUAUGUAGAGUCUAUCCCCCAAAGGAAAACAAUUAAAUCCUAUGGCAUUGAGAAAUCGGGAGACAUGAUUUUUGAAUAGAUUACCUCGAAGAUUUCCUGCGCGGAUUGGAUGAUUCCCAAGAUGGAUCGGAGGUUCUAAGGAGUGGGGACUCCAAAGAUAGCAAGAGCUUCAAAUUUCCAUGGCUAGAACUCUAGAUGUCCUUGAGAGGUGGAGUGAAGAGAGAGGGAGGCAUCGGUUUGAGGAGUUGAAUGAGUUAGGUUUGAGGGGGCGGCAUCCAACGAGUAUUUAUACCCCUAGGCAGACUGUCGGAAGUUUCAACAGGGCAUCAGAAGUUUCGACAAAAAUUUAAAACAUCUCCUGAGCACCCUCUGUUACGAUAGUUAUCAGAAGUUCCGAUGGUGGAUCGAAAGUUCCGAUAAUAAAAAGAAAUUCUCCCGGGAACCUUCGGUCGGAACUUUGCUGAAACUUUCGGUGGUUUUCAGAAGUUACGAUGGAGUAUCGGAAGUUCUUUUUAUCGGCUUUGUCGGUCAAUCACCUAUGGCUACUACUCUCUUCUCCCGCCGCUUAUUCAUUCAGGCACUGGAUUCGAACCAAUGAAGGAUUUUGAGUCCCUUGCUCUGAUAAAGUGAAGACAGCUCCAAAAAGAUUGAUUUUGAGAUGGAUAAGGAUUGAGGUUUCAAGAUAUAUAGCUUAUGGACAUAUAAGACAACUUGACACUUUAGUGAUCACCCAAUAAGAACCAUUACAUAACAAUGAUCACUUGAGUCAAGUUUUGAUCCAAGGAUCAAAAUCCAUGUUUUAAAAGAAACUCAACACAAAUAAAUCCAAUUUUCUUGUCUAGGCAACACUCAAGUAUGUGCAAUAAGUCAAGCCAAGUUACGCGAAUCCAAGAUAUUUAGCUCAUUCCUCAAAGCACAAAACCUUUGCUUAUCUAGAGGCUUAGUGAAGAUAUCGGCAAGUUGUCUUUCGGUGCUUAUAUGAUGUAGAGCAAUAUCUCCCUUAGCCUAAUGAUCCCUUAAGAAGUGAUAUCUAAUAUCUAUGUGCUUUGUUCGAGAGUGUUGCACCGAAUUGUUAGCUAGCUUGAUGGCCCUAUUAUUGUCACAUAAAAGUGAAAUCUUGCUAAACUCACAACCGAAAUCACUCAACAUUUGCUUCAUCCACAAGAGUUGGGCACAACAAGCACUGGUUGCCACAUAUUCGGCUUCGGUGGUAGAUAAAGCAACCGAAUUUUACUUCUUAGAGCUCCAAGACACCAAGGAUCUACCAAGGAAUUGGCAAGUCCCCGCUGUGCUCUUUCGAUCUACUUUGCAACCGGCAUAAUACUAAUCAGAGUAGCCAAGUAAAUCAAAAGUGGAUCCCUUGGGAUACCAUAAGCCAAGGUAAGAAGUGUAUACUAAAUAUCUCAAAAUUUUCUUAACAGCCAUCAAAUGACAUUCCUUAGGAUUGGCUUGAAAUCUUGCACACAUACACACACUAAGCAUAAUAUUGGGUCUAAAUGCACAAAGGUAAAGUACAGAACCAAUCAUGGAGCAAUAUACCUUUUGAUCAACCAGUUUUCCUUCUUCAUUUAGAUUGAGAUGCCCAUUCAAUGCCAUGAGUGUCUUGAUGGAUUUAGCAUCGACCAUGUCAAACUUCUUGAGCAUAUCUUUUACAUACAUGGUUUGAUAUAUGAAAGUCUCUUCCUUCAUUUCCUUGACUUGAAAUUUAAGAAAGAAUUUCAAUUCACCCAUCAUGGACAUUUCAAACCCCUUGGCCAUGAUCCUACUAAAUUCCUCACAAAACUUUGAUUAGUAGAACUAAAUAUAAUGUCAUCGACAUAUAUUUGGCAAAUAAAUAUAUCCUUAUCAACUUUGCGAGUAAAGAGAGUAGAAUCGGCUUUGCCCAUUACAAAAUCGUUCUUGAGAAGAAAAAUCCUUAAGGCAUUCAUACCAUGCUCUAGGUGCUUGCUUAAGCCCAUAGAGCGCCUUAUGGAGCUUGUACACAUGGUUAGGAAACUUUGGAUCUUCAAAGUUCGGCGGUUGUUCCACAUACACCAACUUGGAUAGGGGACCGUUCAAAAAUGCAUAUUCACAUCCAUUUGAUAAAGAUUGAAAUCAUGGUGAGUAGUAUAGGCAAAUAAAAUACGAAUUGACUCAAGCCUAGCUACGGGUGCAUAGGUUUCACCAAAAUCCAAACCUUCAAUUUGGGUGAAACCUUCUGCAACUAAUCUUGCCUUAUUUCUUAUGACCACACCAUGUUCAUCUUAUUUUGUGAAACAUUGGUGUUUCGAAACUCCGAGCCACUGUCACUCCUUCUCCUCUUGAUCUUCAACUCAUAUUCAUUUUGAGCUCUUCUAAUGAAUUUCUUGACUAUCCCUUGAGCUUAACUUUUAUCAUGCAAAAAGAAUACCCAAGUGAAACGGGAAAAAUCGUCAACAAUAACAAUACCGUAUUUAUUACCGCCAAUGCUAAUGUAAGUAAUGGGUCCAAAUAAAUCCAUGUGUAGCAUCAAGUCAUGAUGUUCUUGGCGGGGUGUGGAGCACCAACUUGUUUCCCAGCUUGACAUGCGCUACAUAUCCUAUCUUUCUCAAAGACAACAUUUGUUAGUUUUAGGAUACGAUCGCUCAUUUGAAGUUUGGCCAAAUUUCUCAUCCCAACAUGGGCUAGUCGGCGAUACCAAAACUAACCCAAGUUAGUUUUUGCCACUAAACAGGUCUUGGGCUCAACUCUAUCCAUUGUGAAAUCAACUAGAUAAAGCUUUCCCUUUAAACGACCCGUAAAAGCAAUAGAGGAAUUCUCCCUUUUUAAAGACGGUCACACCCCAAUUAGUAAAGAGACAAUUGUAGCCCUUCUCACAAAGUUUUGAGACGGCCAACAAAUUGUAUCCCAAAAAUUCAACCAAAUAAACAUUAGAGAGAGUUGUCAUUUAAGAUAGCAAUGUUACCCAUUCCGAUUACAUCCCCUUUGCUACUGUCUCCAUAGACAAUACUUUCUUUAGGUGUGUCAUAAUGCCCUAGGGAUGAAAAUAUAUCCUUCUCCUCGGUCAUAUGAUUUGAGUAUCCACUAUCAAGAAACCAUGCGGUGCCACCGGAGGAGUAGGCCUACAAAACAAGUUAAACUUGAAACUUAGGUACCCAAAAGAUUUGAGUCCUUGUUGCUUAGAUGGAUAUAUGUUUGGAACUCACACACUUCUAAAGGUAGCCUUUUUCGUGUAGGCACCAACAUACUUGACCACUAUUUUACCAUCAUGGUCCAUUGUAACCAUGUAGUUGGUGGUGUAGCUUGGUCAGUGCUCAUGUGCAGCCACUUUGUCCUUUGAUUUGGUUAUGAAUUUCUCCGUAACAUUUACCUUGGUAGUUGCUUUGACCGUUGGCUUGACUUGUGUUGGUUUUUGUUACACCAUGUGCCACGUCCAUUAAAUCACCAAGGUUUGCACCUUUGUUGAACAUGAGGAUCUCCUUACCAUUCACCAACUUUCGGUCAUUUACCUUGAUUCCCUUGUAGUGUCCAAGCCCAUCCAUGUGCCUAGGAUGCUUCCCAUCCUUAUACUUGAUCUUAGGCUCAGACUUGGCAUUACCUUCAUAACCUUGUGCCACUAACAUGAUCAAUCUUUUGAUUUAAAUAUCCCUUACUUGAUUGACCCUUCUAGCUUAUCAAUGUUAGCAACACAAGCACUUACAUCAAUUUUAUAGCAUCUUGAGCAACCUUCACCAGUGGAGGUAUUGGAGUCAAGAUUUGCCAUGGAAUUAACUUUGGUGCUUUACCAAAGAUCACUAUUGUUAACUUCAAAGUCUUUGAAUUUGACCGUUAAGCAUGAGAAGCUUUCUUAAAUUUCACUAUGAGUGACCUUUAGAGAAGCUAGAGAUUCAUUUGCCAAAGUGUGCUUCUUUGACAUCCUCUCAUUUGAAUCAUUAGCUAGAGAUAAGUCAAUAGCUAAUUUUUCACCCUUAGCCUUUUCCUCAGCAAGAGCCUUCUCUAAAGCAAGGUUUCUCUCCUUUUCAAGGAUGAGCAAGUCUUCUUGCCUAUUGAGAGACUCCUUCUUUUUCUCCGAUUUCUCCAAAAACUUUUUAAUUUCUUUAUAGCAUUUCUUUCCAAAUUCUUUUAUCAUGUUGGCUUUACAUCCUCUAACUCACUUUGCUCGUUACUAAAUAUAGAGGAGGAGAGGGAUGAGGAGGAUGUAGCAUCUAGUACCUUGGUCCCCUUUGCUAUGAGAUAAAAAGGAGUGUCAUCUUCAUUAUCGAAGAUAUUGUUGAAGAGUAUAGUUGGUAUAGGAGGCUUGAGUAUGGCCAAAGUUACCAUACAUUCUUUGUUGGAUUCUUCAUCACUAGAAUCCAAUUCUUCAUCACUAGAAUCCUAUUCUUGACCAAUAUGAGCUUGAUCUUGAUAUUUCUUCUUGUAGUCCUUGCUCGUCUCCUUGUACCUCUUCUCCUCCAUUUCCUUAUUUUUCUUGUGAGGAUAAUCGGCAAUGAAAUGACCAACUUCCUUGCAUUUGUAGCAUCUUCUUUGUGAUGUCUUCCUCCUAUCAUCACCAUUCUUCUUGAAAGCCUUCUUCUUCAAAAACUUCUUGUAAUUUCUUAUGGCGAAUGUGAUUUCUUCAUCGGUGCUUCCUUCAUCACUUGAGUCUUCCUUCUUUGACUUGAGAUCUUUGGGACUUGACUCAACCAUGACACUUGAGCUAGCAUUGAGAGCCACAUUCUUGUUCAUCCUCAAGCUAAGAGAUUUGGCCACAUCUCUCUCAACCAACUCUUGAUGCAAUAUUUCACCAAGAAGUUGAUUGGGUGUCUUUGUCUUGAAGCUUGAAUCUCUUCUAAUCAUGGUAGCAAGAGUGGGGUCCCUUGGAGUGAAAGCUCUAAGUAUCGUCUUGGUGACUUUGUGAUCAUCCCAAUCCGUGCUUCCAAGAGAUCUAAUAUCCGACAUAAGGAGCAUUAGUCUACCAAACAUUUGCCACAUGAUUUCUUCCUCAAGCAUGAUGAAGUGCUCUAGCUCUCCAUGGAUCAAGUCCAUCUUUCCUUCUAUAACUUGAUCGGUCCUCUCAUGUGCCUCCUUUAGUGUAUGCCAAAUCACCUUUGCAACCUCAACAGAGCGGACCUUAUUGAACUCUUGAGCACAUAGAGAGCCGGUGAUAACCCUUACGGCUUGUGCAUUGCGGAAAUAAUCUUGAGCUUGCUCGGCCGUUGGUAUACCAUUCUUAGGCGGAGUCACACCUACAACCACAACUUCCCAAAUAGAAGGGUGAAGCCCAUAAAGAUGCAUUUUUAUGUCAUAUGACCACUUGGGAUAAUCCGUCCAAUCAAAGUAAAGAGGUUUUCCCAAGUGGACGGAUUGAAAUUGAGAAUAAGGAUAUUGAGGUGAUGCAUUUGAGUAAUUAGGAGGAACUUGAUGAAACCCGAAGAAAGGAUGCUUGUCUCUUUCUUUCUUAUCUUCUUCAUCAACUUGUUCGCCUUCUUCUCGAUCCUAGCGUUCAUCUUCUCUUUUCUUCUUUUCUUGGCCUCCAAGUCUUCACCCUCAAGUUCAUCACUUGAGCUCAAGUCGUCACUUAAGCUUGCUACAUGUACGGAGGGAGGUCGACUCCUUAGAAGCUGACCAGAGGGGUCUAUGGGACCUCCUCCAAAGCUUGGAGUAGCACCAACAACGGCAGCGGCUCGAGCGGCAACUUCUUCAACGGUGGCAAGUCCAUCCCCAUUAUGAGACAUCUUGAAUCCCUUAGCGGUUAAGCCUUAAUCAAGAGAUUAGGCUCUGAUACUAAUUGAAAGGAUCUUGUGAUGCCUAGAGAGGAUGUGUGAAUAGGCUCACUUUAAAAUUUUCCUAAAAAAGUUCACAGCGGUAUUAGAUAAGUCGGAACUUCCGACACCGUGUCGGAACUUUCGACACCGUGUCGGAACUUUCGAUGGAUCGAAACUUCCGGUACAGGGGCGGAAUUUCCGACGGCAGGAAAUGAGCUGAACAAAAUUCAAAAUGAAACUUGAAUCUGCCAAUUUUGUUUGAAUCAAAGGAUUAUAAAUGAUGAGUAAAUACUACUGCAGGUGAUAGAUAUGCAAGGAACUACACAAAUUUAUAGAUUAGCUCAAAUCAAGCUUCUAGGUUAAAAAGAACUCGAGGAACACAACAAGCAAAUAAGACAAAGGAUUUGUUUACCGAAGUUCACUUCCACAAAGGAAGCUACAUCUCCGUUGAGGAGCUCACAAAGAGCCGAUUCCUCAGUAACCCUUUACCUCUCUCAAUCAAACAGAAACGAGGAUUGAGUUACUUACUAUGAAUCCACGAAGGAUGGGGUGAUACAAACAUUCCCGGGCGCACCACACAAAGAGGGCGCUCAAACGGGUGACGCCUAACCGUAUAGAAGCAAGCUUCAAGAGAAACCAACGUGAAUCAAAGGCCGAAGAUACUUUAAGUGCUCUUGAGAUGAACUUGUUGAACCUCACACUUAAAGUCCCAAGCCUCACACCUCUUUUCCUUCUCUCACCCAAGCUCUAACUCAAACUCUCAAAAAUUUAGCUCAAAGAGGGAGUGGGAAGAAGCAUUGAAUGCUCUAGAGAGUGUUUUUCUUGGGGUAGGUCAGCAGCCAUGGAGGGGGCUAAGGGGGUAUUUAUACCUGAGCCCCAAAACCAGCCGUUACAGUGCUGUUAUGUGCUUGUCGGAACUUACAACACAGAGUCGGAUUUUCGUGCUUGUCGGAACUUACAACACAGAGUCGGAUUUUCCAACACAGUUAAACUAAAAUGGCUAGGAACUUCCCUCAAUAAAUGCUCUUUCUGUUGUUCUUAUGCAAGUUAUAAAUUCCUUUGUGUCAUUGAUCUAUGCAAGUUUGAGUAUUCUCUGCUGGAAAUUAAAUUAAAUUAUAUCUUAAGUUUUGCUUCAUGACAAAGUACCUUCGUGCUAUUUGUUGGAUUAUGUGCUUUUAGUUGCUUACUCUUGGUAUCUCUAAGAAUUACCAGUCAGAAUCUGAAUAUGUCAAUAAUCAUAGGAAGUUACAAGACAACCUUUUUUUCCCCCCAUAAACGUUGAUUUAAGAAACCUCAUCAGGAAAAAUAUAUCUUCUUUGCCCUAUAUUGUUUUGCAGCUUCAUGGAAAUGGAUCCAUUAAAGUCCUCAGUUCUAUUACCACUCAAAAUCAUGAAAGAAUUGCCUGUCCAACUAGAUUCCUAAGAGCAGCUCAUGAGACAUCUGAAAUUCAAGGGGAGUAAUAAACACGCCAAAAUGGAGUAGAACUCCAGAAAGGAUGAAAAAUCCUAGAAGUACACAUUUUUAUUUGUUAUAUGAGCAAGAUAAUGGAAUAAAACACUUAUAUGGUAAACAAUCAAAUGUGGGUACAGGGUAAACAAUCAAAGAAAUUUCCAUUCCUUCAACAGGACAGGAAACGAUUAUAUAUAUGUGCUUCGUGAUUAUGUGAAUGUCUGAAUCUUACUUUGGUAACAGCACUCUUGAAAGUAGCAAAGGAGAUGCUUACUGGUAGGAUUAGUGUCUAAGGUUGUUGGAUAACCACAAACUCUAACAAAGUGUUCCAGUGUAUGUUUGUCAAAAUACGGCUGACAAAGAAAAAUUAUAAUGCCCUGCUCAGCAACUUGUACAAAUCUGUUUCAGUAGUAAGCAAGCAUAUCAAACUUCUAUUGUCAGAGGUCCAAAAUAAUUCUAUUUCCAGAAGAUGUCUGCAAAUCAACACACAACUACAACCUGUAAUCUAACAUCGACAAGUGCAAGAGAACACACGUAGCCAGUACAAACAUCAGGAAGGGCAACUUCACACAAGCAUCGCAAACAUUUACUCAAAGCCCCAAAAUCCUAGCCAGUCAGUGUGCAUCAACUUGGUAACCAUCUCACUAUCAGCAAAUUUGGCCAUGUGACAGUAAAAAUCUCACAACAGAACUUGAUAAUCUGAUAUUGCAGACCAUUAUAAUCGCUUAAUUUGAUCAUACUUCAAACUACAUAGCCAAAGGCAGUACAGAAUCGUCGUCGAAUUUAACCACUGUGAACCAAAAGUCACCACAGAUACAAAAACGAUCGAAGCUCGUCAGAUUCAGUUUUCGAGUCCGGGCACCUGUAUGCGCCGGCUGGCCUCGGACUUCUUGCCGCCGAGGAACUCGUCGGGGACGACCUUGAGCUGCUUGCGCUUCUUGGACUUGGCGAUCUUCUGAAUGGUCUUGGGGUUGGUGACCCGCUGCAGCUUGGUGCCCGUGCGCAGCACGUUCUCCUGCUUGCGCUUCUCCCGCUCCUCGCGCGCCUUCCGCUUCGCCACCUUGUUCUGCCGGAUCUCCUCCUUGAGCUCCGCCUUGCGGGCCUGGUACGCGCGCUUCAGCGACUUCUCCCGGACGCGCUGCUCCAGCGGGGUCGGCUUCCGCGACACCACCACGGCCGAGGCGCGCCGGGUGCGGGGCUCCUUCCACCGGCGCCCCGACACGCGCCCGGCGAUGACGCCGUCGUAGGUGGGCCGGCCGAAGGAGGCCGGCUUCGAGGGGUCCGACAGGGAAGGCAUGGCGCGGAGCUUGGACGGCCGGGGCGCGUCGGCGUCCAGGUCCAUGGAGUCCGCGGCCGCCGCCUCAGCCUCCUCCGCCUCCUCGCGGCGCUUGCGCUUGCCGCGCUCGCCGCCGAGGCCCUCAUCGAGGUAGCGGAAAUCGAGGUGGGAGGCCAUGGUGGGUGGGAUCGACGGGGCGCUUGAGGCGCGGGAUUGAGAGAGGGAGAACUAAGGCGGAGGCGGCGGCGGCUUUAUUAGGGUUUGGGAGUAGCACCAGAGGAUGGCGGGUUUAUUGUGGUUGAGCUGGGCCAUUUUUUGGUUUGAGCCGUUUUAUGCAAUAUUAAGAGCAAUGCAUCCUCGUCCUACGGCCCACGAAGCAGCCCGGCCCAAGACGGCGGCUUCUUCCUCGAGACGCUUCCUCGUGCUCGCACCCAAGGCCCGCGGCGGCGGCGGGCAGCGUCGCACGCAGCGCUGGUCCGUGAAGACUCGGCUCCUGUAGGGCGGCGGAAGUCGCUGGGGCGCCGGAACUGGGUGUGUGGGAAGGCAGGACGCUGGUCCAAAGGUCAGUGCCCAGGACCAAGUGGCGGCGAGCAGGCGUUGGUAGUUGGGUUCUCGACUGGGGCUGUGGGGAAGGCCUGAAAUUUUUAACAAUUAGAAACUUCUCUAGCCUUAAGGUAUUUCUCUUUGCCACCUGUUCCUCUUUGCAAUUAGAAUUUUUUUCCGUCCAGGCUACUGAAUUAGUUUGAGUUGGGCAAUGCGUGCCCAAAUUAAGGUUUGAUGAUUUGAUUGUAUAUGCGUAAGUAGAAGAGAAGAUUUUAUGGUAUCAUCACCAGUCUCAGUUUUUCAAAAAAGGAAAAACAUGCAAAUAUGUUAGUAGAUUUUUGAAAGAAGAUAGAGAAGGUGGAACUUCGGAGAUCAAUUAUACUACUCAUGUCUAUUUCACUCAUUUGGUAGGAUACUAUUUCUAAUAUUCAUGCCAAGUCAGAUACAUAUCGGAUCAGUUGGGUGUUAUCCACACUAUUUGUAAAACCCUGUUAAACUACCUCAUGAACAUUGUGCCUUGGCACCCAAAUCAUACCUGAACGCUGAUGGUGCUGAGAAUAUGCUUCAUCGCUGUUUAAGUGUUGGCAGAUGGUACCCUUGAUAGCAAUUCUAAAGGUCAGGUCAUUGAGCAUCUCAAAAGAAAAGGGGGGAUCACGAUACUUCUGGCACAUGCUCACAGCUGGGAGGCAAUAGUAGCAAGAGGGCACAUGCUCACAGCUUCUUGGUGGUGGUUAGGAAUCGGGGAAAAGAGGGAAAGCUCAAACUGUUCGUGUCUUCGAUGUAUUUGUGCCCAAUUAUUGGUUAAAAUUGACAUGAUCCACGAAAGUUAUGCUAAUGUAUAUUUUAAAAUAUGUGUUCUUUCUUAUUAAUGGCAAUAACAUGUAGCUUUCUCUAACCAACCGGAGGAUACAUAUUAGUCAACGUUUGGUCUCACAUGUACUUCGUGUUCUAUGUAUACCCCUCUUAAUCUACAACUACACAUAAUUAGGAGCUUCUGCUGGUCUGGACGUGUGCCGUGCAUAGGAUGAGGCUUGGGAUUCAAAUGGGAAGAAUGCUGGUCCUUAUGCUGCACUGAUGUUUGCUUUCUUCUUCUUUUUUUGUUUCAAACCGUGUGGCAAUCCUACUAGUGGUCGCUUUGUUUGGGUUUUUAUGGGGUACAGCCAUACCCUCAGGCCUUGAUACACCUAUAUUGUAGACCUGUUAAGCUGUUAUCUUUCUACUAAAUUGGUAAGUAAAUUUCAUGAAUAAAUGUCACAUAUUUGCAAAUAGAUCGUAGUAUACAUGGGCAUAUCAUAUCACCUACUUAUUCUCUUAACCACUUAAUUGUUCAACUAUAGGCAUGGUUCCUUUUUGAAAUUUGAUUGUUAGUUUAAAACUGAAUAUUCAUCUGUAUUCAAUUAUGUUUUGUCUUGCACGGCAUGUGUGCAGAACUGAGAUAUGGAGGACGAAGAAAACAUUGAGGAUGAACUGUUUUUUGUGGACUCACAACUCCAGGACAUUCAAGGUAUGAUCACACUAAACACUUCCCAGUUGAUAGACAAUUAGACAUGAAUUGUUAAUUCAAGGUAUGAUACAUGCAUCCUUUUCCCUGACUAUUCGUCUGUAUCAGCUACUUACUGAAUUGUUAAUGCAUGUUUAAGUUUUAAUCAUAAUGGACAUGAAAGUUCACUUUAUCUCCCUUUUCUUUGGUCCUGAAGUCAAUAAACACUUUUAUCUCCCUUUGUCUCCUCCUUGAUUGCUGGAGACUCCCAGGCUUCCGUGUACUGUUGUAGUUUUUUUUAAAAAAAAUAGAAAUAAAAACUUGAUCACAUGGGGAGACUCCUCCCCCUGGGCUAAGGUGCCAUGCUCCAAACCCGAGUCCAGAGAGGAGUUUCAACGACUCCCGGAGUUCAAUGCUCUAACUGGUCCACACACGAGAAGCUUGGCAGUACUGUUGUAGGGUUAGCUAUUGUGUUAAUAACAGGUUUUCUCAAUUAUUGUUGCAUUACCCAUUAUUCUUAGGGCCCUUCAUGUGCUUCUUGAUGUGUGGAGAGACAAUUUUGAUCCCUCUCAGUUAUCAGUGUUAACAACCAGGAGGUUUUAUUUAGCGUCACACUAACAGCAGACAUAUUUUUUGGAUUAGUCCUUUUGAGUGCUAUACUGAGUAUUUUGUGGACAAGGAAUGCCACUGCUUCAAUUUUCACAGUUGAAAUUAAUGCUUUCCAGGACAAAUUAAAACAUUACUUGAUCGCCAAGAGGAGUUGUAUGAGUGACAGUCACAGUUAAAGGCUUUGCUGGAAGUAUCUAAGAAAUCCAGAAACAAAUCAAAUUAUGAAUCUUCAGUUACUCUGGAAGAUUGGUCUGGGAGCUUCCCAUGGGAUUCUCAGGCUGAUGAUACCAGAUUCAAUAUAUUUGGCAUCACCUCCUACCGAUCAAAUCAACGAGAAGUAAGUUUACAGCAGAAAUAAUCUGUUUCUUUUUUAAAAAAAUCCUUCCUCUUGGGCACACCUAGUUAUAACCUAAAAGAAAUGCACAAUAGAUGUUCAAAGUGUUUUGGUUCUUUCUGAUGGUUUUUGGAUUACCAUUCCUCUGAUAUCCCUAUUGUUUUUAUAUCCUUUUUGUUUAGUGCUGAUCCUAAUUUUACACCCAUAGGCUAUGUUAUAUUGUAUAAUUUCAUCUUAUUUUCCACUCUUGUAAUGCAUAUUGUGCUUACAGAUAAUUAACGCAGUCAUGAGUCAAAAGGAUGUUCUGGUCAUAAUGGCUGCUGGUGGAGGGAAGAGCCUGUGUUACCAACUCCCAGCUGUAUUUCAUAAUGGAAUUGCAUUGGUUGUCAGCCCAAUACUUUCUCUUAUCCAGGACCAGGUUGUUAACCUGUAAACAUCUUUUUUUUUCCUUGCCCUAUACAUGCACAUGUUAAUUUUUGAAAAGUUGUACUGUUCUAGGUCAUGGGACUGGCAGAUUUAGGUAUAGCAGCUUACAUGCUGACUUCAACUACCAACAAGGAAGUUGAGAAGUUCAUCUAUAGGGCACUUGAUAAAGGUGAAGGAGAAUUGAAGAUAUUAUAUGUGACACCAGAAAAGAUAUCGAAAAGUAAAAGGUUCAUGCCUAAGCUUGAGAAAUGCCAUCUUGCUGGACGUCUUUCUCUCGUUGCAGUAGAUGUGAGUGAUGAUAAUACUUGUUUCUAUUUGUGCCUAAUCCCCAAAAUUGUUACAGUACACUAAUAUCGUUUCUCUCAAUAAAUGCUCUUUCUGUUGUUCUUAUGCAAGUUAUAAAUUCCUUUGUGUCAUUGAUCUAUGCAAGUUUGAGUAUUCUCUGCUGGAAAUUAAAUUAAAUUAUAUCUUAAGUUUUGCUUCAUGACAAAGUACCUUCGUGCUAUUUGUUGGAUUAUGUGCUUUUAGUUGCUUACUCUUGGUAUCUCUAAGAAUUACCAGUCAGAAUCUGAAUAUGUCAAUAAUCAUAGGAAGUUACAAGACAACCUUUUUUUCCCCCCAUAAACGUUGAUUUAAGAAACCUCAUCAGGAAAAAUAUAUCUUCUUUGCCCUAUAUUGUUUUGCAGCUUCAUGGAAAUGGAUCCAUUAAAGUCCUCAGUUCUAUUACCACUCAAAAUCAUGAAAGAAUUGCCUGUCCAACUAGAUUCCUAAGAGCAGCUCAUGAGACAACUGAAAUUCAAGGGGAGUAAUAAACACGCCAAAAUGGAGUAGAACUCCAGAAAGGAUGAAAAAUCCUAGAAGUACACAUUUUUAUUUGUUAUAUGAGCAAGAUAAUGGAAUAAAACACUUAUAUGGUAAACAAUCAAAUGUGGGUACAGGGUAAACAAUCAAAGAAAUUUCCAUUCCUUCAACAGGAUAGGAAACGAUUAUAUAUGUGUGCUUCGUGAUUAUGUGAAUGUCUGAAUCUUACUUUGGUAACAGCACUCUUGAAUGUAGCAAAGGAUAUGCUUACUGGUAGGAUUAGUGUCUAAGGUUGUUGGAUAACCACAAACUCUAACAAAGUGUUCCAGUGUAUGUUUGUCAAAAUACAGCUGACAAAGAAAAAUUAUAAUGCCCUGCUCAGCAACUUGUACAAAUCUGUUUCAGUAGUAAGCAAGCAUAUCAAACUUCUAUUGUCAGAGGUCCAAAAUAAUUCUAUUUCCAGAAGAUGUCUGCAAAUCAACACAGAGCUCAGGAAACAAUUAUAAAGAGCCAAACAACUGGCCCUUUGACAGUCUUAUCACCUAGCUUAAGAAUACUGGCAUCCAGCGGUGAGUAGAAACAUAUGGUUGGAUAGGACACAACUAUAAAAUCAGAUGCCUGCUGGCAGGCAGGCUGGCUGUAAGAAGAUGAACAACAGAGCAACCGUUCGCUGCAUGUUUACUGUAAAUUGUGAAUAACGUCAUAAUGUACACUAUCAUCUUUGCUAUGAUCACAAGUUCAUCUUUUACAACAAAGCAGCAAAGUUUGGAUCCAGCUUCAGACAACAGACACAAGAGGGUGCUGUAUGGAACUCAAGCAGAAAUAAUGGGGUUUCUGACGCACUCCUUGGAUUGGACUUGUCCUGCAGUGAGCUCCAGUUGAUCUUCUUCACAAAGGCCACCGUCGUGAGGCGUCUGGAAGAUGGGGAUGCUACCGAGCGGAAAGACGAGGACCGAUCAUUGGCGUGCUGGCUUCCGAGCAUUUGGCGAGUGGAGGAAGAUGAGCUUGACUGCCCGUCAUCAGAUGGUCGCAUCAUAGUACUGCUUCUAUGGAUUGGCACAGACUGAACCAUUCUGCAUCUGCUCAAACUCAAAGGAAUGAGGAGGUUCAUCUCUGCUGUCGUAAUUGAACCUCAUUCCUGCUGCAUGCUGUUGGCGUGAGUGAUGCACACCAUCACCAAGUUUCUGUUUAGGAUCACCAGCAUCAUCGCCACCUCAACUGGCCAUCUUAUCUUGUAACAGCAAUUAGCUGAUGAGGGGCUCUGCUUCUGAUGAAGGGCGGCAGCUGCUCAUACGGAGCCUCAAUCUACAAGUAACCUGCAAUCCACGGUGAAUGAUUAUUACCAAGGGCAAAAGUGCAUUAGAGUAGAGAGAAGCAAUAAUUUACUUGUGAAUAUAACAGUGCUGACAAUCUGAAUUUAUCGAGUUUCCUGAAAAGACUCGUAGCGGUGCAUUUGUGAUGUUACAAAUAAAACGAUCAUCACUUUGUGACUCUCUGUCUUGUGAUGUUGUUACGCAGGAGUAACACAAUUAUUCAAUUAAUUACUAGUUGAAAAAUGGUAACAAUCCAGCAUUGAUGAAAAAAUUGCAAAUUUGAACAAGAAAGAUGAGGAGAAGGCCAAUUUUGCAGAGAAGGAAACAGUUGAUUGAAUUUGAUCCAUGAACAUACGCACCAGUAUAAUAAUCCAAUUUAGCACAUGGACUCCCCUUCAGUUUGGUUACUGGAAAGUGAGAAAUCAAUCCAGUAUCAGAGACAGAACAGUAAAUGGAUCAAAGCAUUAACAUAAGAUAAGAUCACAGCUAAAAUGAAUAUAAACUGUGAUCCAUUGCUUUGAUUGAUAUGUCACAUGUAGCGAUUACAUGAAGUCGAUAACUACGAACCUACAGAUACCACAAAAGUUUGAGGCUUCCAACUAGAAUCUGACUCUAAGUCUAAAAAUUAGAGAAUCAGAACUUUGAAUCUCUGCAAGUCUUGAGCUGAGUGGCAAGUCCAAUCUGCAACUUUGAAUCUCUGCAAGUCUUGAACUUUGAAUCUCUGCAAGUCGUGGCACCUGUCCAGACAUAAGCAUGCCACAGCCUGACUAGAGCCUAGAGGACGGCGAGGUAGAAGAACUCCAGGGUCGGAUCAACUAGCAGCUCCUCCGCCGCCACAGCAGCUUCCGCUUCGACUCCCAGCGCACCGGACGCGGCGGCCCCUUCGCCCACGAUCAAGCCACAACGGGGGUGGAAGCAGGACACGGAACCUCCCCGAUGGCGCAGGGCGAGGCUGCGCUCCACGACCGCGGACGACCACCCCCGCUCCUCAUCGGACUCCUCCCGCCGGUAAAGGCCCUCGUUGCGGCCCCUCUUCUUCGCCCCGUCGCGGCCCCUCUUCUUCGCCUCGUCGCCGUCCCUCUUCUUGGAUGCGUCGCUGUCCCUCUUCUUGGAUGCGUCGCGGUCGCGCCGGCGGGCGAGCUCCUCCUCAACGGGGUCGUCCGCCACCACGGAGGUUAUGGCGCCGUCGAUGGUGAAGGUGAAGGCGAAGGCACCCGCGCGCAGGAGCUGGGUCCCGUCAGCGGCCAUCAUCGGCGGCGGCGGCAGGAUUGAGAUCUGAUGGGAUCGCGAUUGCGGUGGACGCGGCGGCGGCGGGAUUGAGAUCAGAAGGGAAUGGGAUCGCGAGUGCUCGUGACUCGUGAGAGAUCAGGGAUGGGAGUCGCGGCGGAGGGGAAAUUUUGGAAAGAUGGCGCGCGGCGGAAGGGAAAUUUGCAGGCGGAUCGGACGGUGCCUUUGAGGACAGGUCGGAUGCGUGGGCGACUCGGGAUUAGUUGGCGUAGGCGCCACGCGGAUCCGGACGCUUGCGUGCGGUGGACGCUGGUGGAGCGGGGUGACAGCUCAGCAGAGGCAAGGCAGGCGACCCGCUCGACUCGGAUGCCCAUGCGCUGCGGUUACCUUAACCCGGCGGUGAGGAGGUGUAUUCCGGUAUAUCCGUGUUUCGGGACAGCCUGGGCAAGCGUAUUAAUUAAUGGUUCUGAUUUCCGCAUUUUAUUUAUUUACUAGCAGAAAUACCCGUGCGUUGCUACGGGCCCUUAACGGGUCCUUACUGUAACAGCUGCCAUUUUGGUCAUUUAAAGUGACUUGGAUGAAUUGGAAGUGAUUCAAGAAGAAAAGGAAAAGAAAUUAGCCAAAAUCAAAUUCGGGUCAAAUUUGGCCGAAAUUUGAAUUUUGAAUUUGAAAUUCAGAAAAAUUCGGCAAAAAUAUAGAAUACAAGUGUAAGAGUGACUAGAACUUAGGGAUCAAGAAUUUGGAACAGAAAUGGUGCUAAAUAUCUCAGAGAAAUCAAAGAAAGAAAAAGGAAAAUUGAAGUUACUGUUCACCGUCCGAAAAUAGGAACUCAGAAAAACAGCAGCAGAGUCUGUUUUCAAAAUUGAUUUCUGAUGAACUUUUCAAAUAAGUGAAUCAAAACAACUACACCACAUCAUAGUAUGGACUUUAGACUACUAGAAUUGGAUGUUGUUGGCAAGAAACAGUGAAGCGAACAAAUUCAAAUUCCAGCUCAAAGUCAGCAUCUUGUCACUGCAAAUGACAUCACUGAAAAUGGUUAAGUCUGAAACCAGCAGCAUAGAGUCGACUUUGGACUUGAAUUCAGAGCAAUGUAGAUCAGAAAGAGUAGUUGUUCUUGAGCAAAAUGGAACAUUGGGAUGUUGUAGAACACAUUUGGGAAGAAAUUGGACUGAAAGGAGAGGAAUUGGAUCACUAAACUCAAUCCCAAAGUGAAGCAAGUGACACUGUCAGUUAACUCACGAACUGAACUUGGAGUUCAGCGAAAUUCAGUUGAAGCCGAGAAAGAAAUUCAAAUUACACUGUGCUCGGAUGUUUAUCUCGGGGUAGAGCCAAAAUAAAAGUUGGAGGAUUCAAGUUUAUCUCCAACUUCUGUUAAGGCACUUGGGGACCGUCGGAUUGGAAAUCGACCGUGAUGAAGCUCUGAAGAUUUCGGGCAUCAGAAGAAAGAAAGGGGAACGAUGACAGAGCAACGGGACGUGUCGCCGCCGCCGCCGUCGGUCACUCGCCAGCGCAACCAGCUAGGCCACCUCUUCACCACGUAAGUCUACGAGUAGGCCACGGUGUCACCCAUGCGCGCAGUAAAACGCUUGAAUAACUACCGCUCCCGCGCCGCCGUUUCACCGCCGCUCUUUUUACCGCCGCCACUUCCUCUGUCCGAGCCGCCGCCGCCGAGCAAAAUUCCACCGCUACACCGUACCUCCCGUCGAUUCCUUCCGUCCACACCUCCGCCCACACCCCACCAGCAACCCUAGAACCUUGUUGCCCAGCUUCUCUGCCGUCACGCCUGGAACCACCGCCGCUUCUGUCCGCCGUCGCCGCGCCUCCCGCUCACGGUGAGCACUACCUUGCGCCGGUCCCCUUUCUUCUUAAGUAGUAGUAGGCGAGUCCUUAGGGUACUAGGAUGGUGUAGAAGCAGUCGUUCGAGUAGUUUGCGCCGCAGUCGUGAGUAGCCGCAGCCGGCCGAAGGUGUCGCCGCCCGCCGCCGUGGAGGGAGUGGCUCCGGCCAUCUCUUGAGGAGCUGUUGCCGCGCGCGGGUGCGUGAAAGCAUAGGGGUGCUGUCCUGACCUAGCUUCGCCGCCGGUGGGGCGCCGGCCGGCGAGUCGCGCCGCCCCCUGUCGCGCGCGCGUUUUGGCGGGAGGAGGAAGAAGCGCCUGGAUGCUCAGGCCCGCGCGACAGAGAGAGAAAGGAGGAGAGGAGAAAGAGGCCGGGGCGCGGCCGUCUGUUGGGCCGCGGCCUUGAGGCCCAGUAGCGCGCACGCGGUCGGCCAUAAAAGAGAAAGGGGCCGGAGGCCCAGUGGAGGCAGGCCGCGCCCGUGAAGGAAAGAGGAAAAAGGAAGAGGGCCAUUGGGCCGGUGUCGGGCCAGAAAAGGGGAAAGAAAAAGAAAACGGCCCACGGGGCCCGUCAGGGGGAGAAAUGGCCGGCGGGUAAGUGGAGCAGUGAAUAGGUGGGUCCGCGUCGUGGGGCCCAGUGCGCAUGAGAGGGGGUAGAG